AUACGUAGGGGGCGAGCGUUGUCCGGAUUUACUGGGCGUAAAGGGUGAGUAGGCGGUUAUAUGUGUCAGAUGUAAAAGGCUAUGGCUUAACCCUAGUUAGCAUUUGAAACUGUAUGACUUGAGUGCAGGAGAGGUAAGUGGAAUUCCUAGUGUAGCGGGGAAAUGCGUAGAUAUUAGGAGGAACACCAGUGGCGAAGGCGACUUACUGGACUGUAACUGACGCUGAGUCACGAAAGCGUGGGUAGCAAACAGGAUUAGAUACCCUGGUAGUCCACGCUGUAAACGAUGAGUGCUAGGUGUUGGCCAGCGAUGGUCAGUGCCGCAGUAAACACAUUAAGCACUCCGCCUGGGGAGUACGGUCGCAAGACUGAAACUUAAAGGAAUUGACGGG
rnacentral:rRNA from 1 species